UACGUGGGGUGCAAGCGUUGUUCGGAAUUACUGGGCGUAAAGCGUGUGUAGGCGGCUCGUUAAGUCUGGUGUGAAAUCCCCGAGCUUAACUCGGGAACUGCAUCGGAAACUGGCGAGCUCGAGUCCGGGAGAGGGUGGCGGAAUUCCUGGUGUAGAGGUGAAAUUCGUAGAUAUCAGGAGGAACACCGGUGGCGAAGGCGGCCACCUGGACCGGUACUGACGCUGAGACACGAAAGCGUGGGGAGCGAACAGG
rnacentral:rRNA from 1 species